CAUGUAGAUAUGUAUGCAUGGCAAAUUUACAUUUAGAGUUAAGACACAUGCAAUGCAAUCAAGUAAAUAUCAUAGGAUUCUGAAGUUAUGUCAUGAUGUAAGAAAAUUAAAGAAUAAAGAUAUAGUGUGGGACCAAAAGGGUCUUAUCUUAAUUGUUAAGUGCGUAUGCCUUCGCAAGUCACGAGCCAAGGGAAAUGAAGAGGAACAAAAAAUCUUACUACUUAGUGGAGUGGCCACAGAGGAAGUGGUGGCGUCCACGUAACUCAGUCUUAUAUCUGUCUCUGCUUACUUCACUCUAAUCUCUUCAGAACUUUGGGUCCUCCAUUACAAAGACAACUUCAAAAAGAAGGAGGGCCAAUUCUUGAAUUCUACAAUUUUACGCAAAUUAAAACUCUUAUAAGAAUUAUUUAUUUUUUAUAAUAUUUAUCAUAAACGAAAAUAUGUGACAAAUGUUUUAAAUUAAAUCGGCUGCAUAGGUGUCUAAGCUGUCAAAUUACCCAAAUGCUCUGAUUCUAACGAAGUCGAUAAACACCGGUUAAUAAGAAGUUUAAAAAGAUGUAGAUAUGCCUAGGCGCGUCCAUUAACUAUAUUUAGAAAUAGUAAUAGUAGAAAUUUUAAAAAUAUAAAAACUUAUUAAAUUAACCUUUUUAAAUCUUCUAAAACUAAUCAACAUUUAGACAGUUGAUUAGGCGUCCCCAAACGCCCGCGUAACAUUAACAUUUGAUAUGAUGACCAAACCCAACUAACAAAAAGAAUAGUCACUAUAUAUAAUCUUCUUGCUUCAAUCAUCUACUAAUCAUAUUCUUCCAACUGUAUCAAUCUAAUGGACUCUCACUAUUUACCGCUUAAUUUAAGUGAUCAAAUCCAACUACUUAUUAAUUGAUGGCUCAGAUAAGUAUGACAAUAUAUAGUAGCUUUCGGAUUGUGGUGGUGUAGAAUUUUAUAAUAGCUAUUGGACAAUGGACAAUUCGAGAAUCUGAAAGCAACAGGCAAAAAAACCAGAGCCCCGAAUCUCUCUCACUGUUAUUUUAAAGCAUUACAAGCACAAGUGCACAAUCACAUAAAUUUUACGGGGAAAAAAACAAAAACAAGUGAAGAAAACCACAGUAACAGUUUUAAUAACCAAAUCUUGUUACUCAAUGGUUUUUUAAAAGAAUUAACGGUACCUCUCGACCAUGUAACUUUUUCCUAAUGAGUUGAUGAAUUAUUGCGAAUCAAAUCCGUAUGUAAGUUCCUAUUCGAAAAAUAAGAGAAUUAGUUCUUGCUCUCUAGUUUCUCUACCAAAAUAUGAUAAAUAAAACAGAAAUAUAAUAUAAUAUUUCAAUAACCAAAUAAUUCAUGUUAGACUAUAUGUAUGUUUCACAUUCAAUUAUUUGCACUCCGAUGUUCAAAAGUUUUAUUUGAUAGAUAUUUUUUUACAUAUGUCGAAAUCUGAUAUAUUUACUGACACAUAUUGAAAUCAUGUUAAUAAUUAAGUUUGAGAUCAAGUUUUACAUGAUUCUAAAAAAAGUUAAUUAAUUCAAUACCAAAGGAUAACUAAAAAUUAACUAAAUACAAUUAAAAACAAAAAACAACCAAAAAUAUACACAAAUGACAUUUGUUUGAGAUUUUUGUUUUCCGGCAAGAUAUGUCGGUAAUACUGUUCAUCGCUAGCUUCUAAUGAUAUUAUUCAUCACCUAUUUUUUAUCGACGGAUAUUGUUCAUUAUCAAAAAAUUACAUACAGUUUGAAAAUAUGGUGGUUAACUAUUUGUUUAACAUAAUAACUACUAUAUCGCGAUAAAUUUAUAUGAUUGAUAUGAUAACAAUUAUAUAUACAUGUGAUAUACAAUAAUACAACAACGAGCUUACAUUUAGAUAAGAUGUUAACUUUUAAUAGAUAACUAUUUGUUAAUAUGUUAACACUAAUAUCUGAUACUUAUAACGUGUUAACGAUAAUAUAUGAGAUUUGUUAACGUGAUAAUAAUAAGAUAUGAUGCUUGUUAACGUGUUAACAAUAUUAUUUGUUAUUUGUUAACGUGCUAAUAAAUAAUAUAUGAUAUUUUUAACAUGCUAACAAUGAAAUUAAUACCUGUUAACAUGGUAAUAAAAAUAAUAUUUGCUAAUAACAAAAACCAAUACUUUAUACCGAUACGGUGACUAUCGUGUCAUCAUCAAUGUCACCGACACUGCACCAUCACCAUCGUUUACCAGCAUAACCAAUAUGAUGGUGGAGUCAUUUUCGUCGCCGUUGUUUCACUAUAGUCGUCGUCGUUAUAGCCGUUACCACAUUCACCAUGGACCAUUGUUUUCACUGUCAAUAUCAUCAAUUUACACUUCAACAUUUCCUAUCCUCCAUUGUCCUUCUUUUGCUUUCCUUUCUUUUUUUUUUUUUUAGUUUUUUUUCAUCAGAAAAUAAUUAAAGAAAAAGAAGGAGAGAUAUGUAAUUUAGAUAAAAAAGAAAAUGGUUAAAUAGGGUUUUCCAUAUGAAUAGUGAAGGAGAAACAGUGUUUAAGAGAGAAAACUAAUUAUUGUUGUGAAAACUUAGAAACUUUAUUAAUCACUGGAAUGUAUAUAUAGAGUACAUAGGGAAUCUAGGUUAAGUACAAUGCCCUGAUGGGCCUAAUGGGCCGGUAUAAGAGUCCAUAUAUGAUAUGUGUUAUAACACUCCCCCUUGGACGAGUGAACCGGGUCAGCUACUCAAUCGGGAUCUCGAUAAUGCGCUGGGGAAUGUUGCCUCAUUAAAACCUUACCAGGAAAAACCCAGUGGGACAAAACCAUGGUGAAGGAAAAAGAGUACAACACGCAUUACUCCCCCUGAUUGUAGCAUCACUGCAGAUCUCUAAGUCUAUACAUUCCUAUCUGUUUGACGAGCUUCCGGUGUGUUGAAGUAGGCAAUGAUUUGGUGAAGAGGUCAGCUGAAUUCUCACUGGAUCGGACCUGCUGAACGCUGAGAGUGCCGUCCUUCUGCCAGUCUGAGGUUGAGAAGAACUUCGGUAGAAUGUGCUUCGUCCGAUCUCCUUUGAUAUAUCCUUCCUUGAGCUGAGCUAUGCAUGCCGCGUUGUCUUCAUACAUCACCGUGGGCUGUGUGUCUUCGUCCAUACCACAAUCUCUGCGGAUGUGCUGAGUCAUGGAGCGCAGCCAGACGCAUUCCCUACUAGCCUCAUGAAUGGCUAGGAUUUCAGCAUGGUUUGAUGAAGUGGCAGUGAGUGUCUGCUUCAUUGAUCUCCAAGAGAUGGCUGUUCCUCCAUGCGUAAAAACGUAGCCAGUUUGAGACUUGGCAGUGUGCGGAUCUGAUAGAUAUCCUGCAUCGGCGAAGCCGACUAACCCAUCUUUAUUUUGGUUAGUAUAGAAGAGUCCUAAGUCUUGAGUACCUCGAAGGUAUCUUAGGAGAUGUUUUAUACCGUUCCAGUGCCUCUGAGUUGGAGAUGAACUAUAUCGAGCGAGGAGGUUCACGGCGAAACAUAUGUCUGGUCUAGUGUGACUAGCCAGGUACAUUAACGCUCCUACAGCACUAAGGUAUGGCUUUUCAGGACCAAGGAUUUCUUCAUCAUCCUUUUUGGGACCAAGAGGGUCAUCACUUAAGCUUCUAACUACCAUUGGGCUGGUCAAUGGGUGAGCUUGGUCCAUAUUAAAUCGCUUGAGUACCUUUUCGAUAUAAGCCGAUUGAUGCACAAGGAUUCCUCCUUUGAUGUACUCAAGUUGUAAUCCCAAACAGUACUUUGUUUUGCCUAGGUCUUUCAUUUCGAAUUCUGCUUUUAAGCAGUCGACUGUUUGGGAGAUCUCACCAGAUGUUCCGAGGAUGUUUAGAUCAUCCACGUAUACUGCUAUGAUUACAAAUCCUUUGUUUGAGUACUUCUUGAUGAAGAUGCAUGGACUGAUGGGGUCAUUUUUGUAGCCUUCUUUGAUGAGGUAAUCGCUGAGGCGGUUGUACCACAUACGCCCACUUUGUUUCAGUCCAUACAAGGAUUUGUUCAGCCUGAUGCAGUAUUGAUCUCGAGAUGCAUUUUUGUCUUUUAGUUCAAUGCCAUCUGGGAGUCUCAUAUAUAUUUCGUUGUCCAGGGGCCCAUAGAGAUAUGCGGUUACAACAUCCAUUAACCGCAGAUCAAGAUUUUCUCUUAUGGCCAGACUUAUGAGGAAUCAGAAUGUUGUUGCAUCCACCACUGGAGAAUAAGUCUCCUCAUAAUCGAUUCCGAGUCUCUGUGAGAAUCCUUGUGCUACAAGCCGUGCUUUGUAUCGAACGACUUCACCGAGUUCGUUCCUUUUGCGCACAAAGACCCAUUUGUGGCCCACUGGCUUGAUGUGUGAUGGGGUCCGGAUGAUCGGACCGAACACGUUUCUGAGUUUGAGACUCUUUAACUCCACGUUUAUGGCUUCUUUCCAUUUUAGCCAAUCUGUUCGAUGUGUACACUGUGUUAUUGACGUGGGUUCUAGAUCCUCUUGCAUGAGCGCAACAUCAAGUGCUACUUUGUAUGCAAAGAGUGCAUUUAAGUCGACUUCUUUUCGAUUCCAUUGUAUUCCGGACAUAUUGUAAUUGAUGGAGAUCUCAUUGUUAUCUUCUGAACCUGGAGAUUCGGCGUCCCGAACUUCCAUUGAGGGUUCAUUAGAUUGAGUCUCAGCCGCGGCUAUGUCUGAUAUUGCAGGAAUCCCGGUUUCGGUUAUUGCACCUUUCUUUGAUUUCCGGGGAUUCUUAUCUUUGGAACCGAGAGGUCUGCCCCGUUUGAGACGUGGUGCAGACUCUGUAGCGACUUGGGUCUGUCCCGUUGGGACAGCUAUUCGUACUGGUGCAUUACAAGCUGGGAUGUACGAUUUGGUUACUUUGGUCGAGUCAGCAAAGGAAUCUGGCAAUUGAUUAGCUAGCUUUUGAUAAUGAAUAAUCUUUUGGAUCUCUGAAUCACAUUCUAGAGUCCGAGGAUCUUGCCAAUUUAAUGAUGUUUGAUUCCAUGAAAGAUCUUUGACCAGCUUGUUUGUCUCACCACCUAAAGAGGGAUAUACCGAUUCAUCGAAUUGGCAAUCCGCAUAUCUGGCCUUGAAGAGAUCUCCAGUGGUCGGCUCGAGAUAUCUUAUGAUGGUGGGAGAGUCAAAACCAACAUAUAUUCCCAUCCUUCUUUGAGGUCCCAUUUUGGUUCGAUGUGGUGGAGCAAUGGGUACAUAUACUGAACAGCCAAAUGUUUUGAGAUGGGAGAUGUCUGGCUCAUGACCCGAGAGUAGUUGGGAUGGGGAAUAUUUGUGUUCACUAGAUGGCCGGAUGCGUAUGAGUUCAGCAGCAUGUAAUACUGUAUGUCCCCAUGCUGAGGCCGGGAGCUUUGAUCUCAUGAGUAAUGGUCGGGCUAUCCAUUGAAUGCGUUUAAUGAAUGAUUCAGCCAAUCCAUUUUGAGUAUGGACAUGUGCUACAGGAUGUUCCACGGUUAUCCCCAUGGCCAUACAGUAGUCAUUAAACGCUUGUGAGGUAAAUUCACCAGCAUUGUCAAGGCAGAUAGUUUUUAGUGGGAAGUCAGGGAAAUGGGCCCGCAAUUUUAUGAUUUGGGUCAAGAACCUAGCGAAGGCUUGGUUCCGAGAGGACAAGAGACAAACAUAUGACCAACGGGUCGAUGCGUCUAUAAGGACCAUGAAGUACCGGAAUGGUCCGGAAGAUGGAUGUAUAGGUCCACAGAUAUCGCCCUGGAUUCUUUCUAGGAAAUGAAGUGUUUGUUUAGAGAUUUUAACUGGUGAAGGCCGAGUGAUCAAUUUGCCUUGAGAACAAGCUGUGCACAUGAGGUGUUGAGGAUAAGCUCGGUUUUCUUUGAGGGUAUGCCCUUGAGAGUUUUGAAUUAGUUUACGCAUCAUAUUUGCACCGGGAUGACCAAGCCGGUCGUGCCAAAUAGUAUAAUCAGUAAACCGGGCUUUGAGAGUGGUAUUAGCUUCAAUCAUACUGACUUUAGCAUGGUAAAGUCUAGUAGAGAGCGCGGGUAUGGUUUCGAGGAUUUGUUUAUGGCCGUCUACGGUUUUAGUGACUAGGAGGGAUUCUUUGUUCCCUUGACCUUGGGUUUCUAUGUGGAAACCAUUCUGUCUUAUAUCCUUGAAGCUCAGAAGAUUUCUCUUCGAACUAGGAGAAUAUAGAGCAUCUGGUAUUUCAAGUUGUGUGCCAUUUGAUAGCAACACAUAGGCAUGGCCAUAUCCUUCGAUAAGGUUUGAGGGACCCGCGAUGGUGCUAAUAUUUGCGGUUUGAUAGGUUAUGUUUAUGAAGUAACUUUUAUUUCUUAAGAUAGUGUGGCUGGAUCCACUAUCUACGACUAUGGUUUCCAUUUGCUGGUGUGCUUCAUUAUGAAUAGAAGAUAGAAUCCAGUAUUGAGGAAUUCAGAAAAUGUGAUAAAUCAUAAAGUAAAGCAGUGUCUGAGAAUAAAGGCAAAUGGAAAAAAAAAAAAAAAUGAAACAAAUCCCAAAAUGAAAAAAAAAAAAUAAAGAACAAAAUCAAAUUGUAUCAGAGUUUCAGAUGAUUGAAUUAAUCGAGGAGAUCAGCUGUUUCAUAGUCCAUGGGGUCGGUCUGCUCGUUUGUGGUGUUCUCAUCAUCAAGGAGGUCGUCACCUUCCAGGUUAGCAACAUCGACUGGCUGAGUCAUGUUGGCUUCAGCAGGAGCUUUUCCGUACUUCUGGUAUAGAUCGCAGUGGAUCUUGGGGGUGCGACAUUGCUUUGUUGGGUGGUUGAACAUCCCACAUCUGGUACAAGCAGAGUGAUCGGGGUUGGUGUGGCGGGUCGGCUUGGUGAUGCCUCGACUACGACCAGGACCAUAACUGAGGUUAGGUCGGUUGCCGCGACCAUGUCCGCGUCCACGUCUUCCACGUCCAUGUCCUCGGCCAUUACCACGUCCAUUACCACGUCCACGGCGGUGAUCUGAGGAUCUAUCGGGUUGAACAUGGUAGGACUCUUGACGAGAAGCUGGGACAGGAGCCGAUCCCGGGGGCCUCAUAGCGCUGUUCCUCAUAAGCAGCUGGUUAUUCUUCUCAGCGAGGAGAAGACAGGACAACAAGUCUUCGUACAAUGUGUGUUUCAUUGCACGGUAUUGUUGUUGGAGCACAACAUUCUCUGUGCUGAAUGUGGAUAAUGUUUUCUCGAGGAGAUCAUUAUCUGUCACAUCCUCGCCACAGAGUUUCCGGAUGGCAACAAUACGAAAGAGUUCGUUGUUGUAAUCAUCUACGGAUUUGUAGUCCUGGAACCGAAGGUUCUUCCAGUCGAAAUCUGCCUGAGGCAACUGGACCAUUUUCUGAUGGUCAUAUCGCUUUUUCAGCGCUUGCCACAAUUCAAGUGGAUUCUCAAGAGUGAGAUAUUGCUGCUUAAGGCUCGAGGCCAGAUGAUGGCGUAUGUGACAUAUCGCCUGAGACUGUCCCUUACGGGAUGCGGUGUUACCGUCGGUAAUACACGCAUCGAGUUCUUUCGAUGCAAGGAACAAGCGCAUGUCUAGGGCCCACUCGAGGUAGUUAUCCCCGGAGACGUGAAGGGCCUCGAAUUCACAUUUCUGAAUGUUUGACAUCUGAAACAUGAGAUUGAUUUUGUUAGGGAUUGUUUUGAGAAAAUUUUGAAUGCUGAUGAUGAAACUUUCUAUUUUGAGAAUAUUUCUAUUUUAGGAAAGUUUCUAAAUUUGGAAAGUUUCUAAUUUGGAUAAUUUUCUAAAUGAGGAAAGUUUCUAUGUCGGGAAAAUUUCUAUAUGAGGAAAGUUUUUAUAUGAGAAAACUUUCUAUUAGAGGGAACUUUCUCGGAAAUAGUAAAUUUUAAAGGGUAUGGUUUUAGUUACCCCGAACAUGAUGUCGGUUUAAUAGCUGUGAUUUAAUCGGUUAAAGCCGAAUAUAAUUUCGGUUAAUGAGAACCAGGUUUAGCCGGUUUUAGGCGGUUUAGGAGGAACCCUAGGGGAGCCGAAUAUGAUUAGGGUUUUAUCUAGGGUUUUAACGGUUUGGAAAACAUAUUUUGGAUGUGAUUUCGAGAUCUAUAGGAUCUGUGGUCGAUGGUUUUAAUAAUUUCACAAGGACAACAAAGAAAUCACGUGAAAAGGACUAGGAUUUAAGCAUUAUGACUUACGAUUUUGAAGAUUACAAAAUCGUGAAUCAAGCUUAGGAUUUAGGGUUGAUUUUCUUAGUUUAUUCAAUCAAGUGUUUCAAGCAAGAGAAUCAACAAUCAAAAUAAGCUGCAACAAGCUUAUUAAACAUGAAGAAAAUCGAAUAGGUUUAUGCCAUAAACAUGGCCAAAAACGGUUGUUAGGUUUUUGUAGAUUAGGGUUUUAUAAAACGAGUUUAAAACCUUUGAACAUGCAUAAACUUGUAAUUUAAACAAUCAAUCAACAAGUUAUCAAUCAAUCAUCAGAGUAUCAAACACUUUCAAUCAAUUAGAGAUCGAUUUUUUUUUUUUUUUUUUUUUUUUUUUUUUUUGAAGUGUUUAAACAACAGGUUCUAUGGCUCUCAGUUUUAGAAGAUACCUUUUCCACCUUUGGAUUUCUGACAGGCUAAUAAAACUGGGAGCUAAUAGACCUCAGUUAGCCGCUACAAAUUCCAAGGAUUGAUCACCAAAACUGGAGAAGCUGUUGGUUGAAGAAGGAAAAACUCGGAUCUGGUUUUUUUUUUUUUUUUCGGUUGAACGUCGUGUACUGUAAGUGUGCGUGAGGGCGCGUCCGACGUUGGAUCGACAAACGGUUUUCACCAGUAGAUUCGUCUCGUCGAGGGCUUCGAUUUGAUAUGUAGAUCGUCUUCUGGUUCCUCACGGUUUGGAAGAUAUGCGUCUUUUAAGUUUCGAUUUGCUUUUAGGGUUUUGGUGAUGGCCGGAUUUAUUAGGGUUUUUCGCUCAGAGAGUCUUAUCGUGCUGAUAACGUGUUGUGAAAACUUAGAAACUUUAUUAAUCACUGGAAUGUAUAUAUAGAGUACAUAAGGAAUCUAGGUUAAGUACAAUGCCCUGAUGGGCCUAAUGGGCCGGUAUAAGAGUCCAUAUAUGAUAUGUGUUAUAACAAUUAUACAAUUAUCUGUGAGUAUAUAUUGCUAUUAAUUACAUUUUGAAACCUCCUUUUUUUGAGGUUUUAUUAAAAGAUUUUGCAAACGCAAAGAGGAUGUUUCAAAAUACUUAAGUUUUGAGUUAUGUAAGAAGAAAAACACAGUAAAUGUAAACAGCUAAACGCCAACGCAAACAAACAACUGAGAUAAUUUUAUUUUUAAAAAUCGAGCUCUAGCUUAGUCAGAGGUAUAGGAUCAAACCGGGACUUACUAUAAGGUUUUCCAUAUUUAUGUACCUAAACCGGAAUCUUUGUAGCGUUUCGGUAUAUGUUUGCUUAAUCGUAAAGACUAUGCAGCAUCAACCUGAGUAUAAUUCUCGCAGAUUUCUCUAGGUCAUUUUCAGAGUUUUCCACAACUAAACACUUUGAAGAAUCUUGGGAACUCUUUGCCAAUUAGAGAUAUAUACAGAGAAAAGAAGAGAAUAUAUAUAUAUAUAUAUCUAUAUAUAACUCUUUAUCCUCUGCUUUUAUGGACCAGCACACCAGGUGCUUACACUGACACACAGAGUCAGAAGUCGGAACCUUCUCUACUCUUCUUUAAUUCAUGCAUCUAGAAGAUGUUAGCCACAGAAAUUGCGCACGUGGGCAUAUAUGUAAGGUUAAUAAAAUUCCAAUAAGCCAUUCGAUAAUAAACAGAUAUCUUGAAAAACAAGUAUUACCAACGGCUGAUCUUUGGUUUUGAAAGAUUAAAAGCCGAAAUUUUCCUAGACAUGAAAACAGAGCACCAAGAGGCAAAUCACAAAGCCAAGCUAAAUCAAAUUGGCCUUUCUCAUCUAAAUAGAUAAUUUAAUUGGUGUUUAAAAACGGAUUCAAUAUCCUAAAAACAAUAUCUAAGUAUCGAACUUUUAAUCUCAAGUGCUGCUGCUAGAUACAAAAGGCCACUUAUCAGACACCCAAAAACAAUUCGACCCCUUUUGCUAUUAUGCUUUUUGAAAAUUUCUCAUUUUUUAAAUAUCUGUCUUUGCGAUUUAUAAGCUUCUACAGUGGUAUCGAUAUUACCCUUUAAUAAAGUCAAGGGACAAACUGCAAUCAUAACCUCACCAAAGUAGUAGAAAAAAACGUCUUGAGCCUUCUUUUGGCUCACACAGAGAAAAUUGAUUCCAUAUUGUCAAAACCGUGAGAUAAAAGAAAACUAAAUUUCUGUGUAUUAUUUUUUUUUUAAAUGAAUACUUCGUUGUUUUUUUAUAACAAGUAUUAUAUAGUUUACCUUAUUUAUUCCCCUGUUUGGUUUGCUAUGCUGCUGAUGUUUUACUGACACGCGAGCGAGAUAGUGCAAUUGAAUCAAUUGGGACCUGCCAAAAGAAAAUAUAAGAAAGUGUUCUUAUUGCAAGACACAAAAAGACAAAGAAAAGGCAGAAUUAAUUGGAGUGUUACAUCAAUCGCCUAUUAACGAUUAUUUCCUUUUUUAAUUUAUAUAUAUAUGCUAUAAUGGCUUGAUGGCAUCACAAAACAACGGACCCCACAUUAUCAACAGCAUAAUCUCUCACCAUAUGGACGGUAAAGAUUAGAAAAACAAAAUCAUUAGAGAAUUUUAAUAAUGUGAGUGUUAUAUCGCGUAGACACAACACCGUGUUCAAGUUGGCUUAUAUAAAUAUUGGUAUAGAGUAUGCCAAAGGUUCCCAUAAACAAGCAACUUUAGUUUUCUACUUCAGAGAGAAAGAGAGAGAGAGAUGAAAAAUGUGCAAGAUCAAUACCGUAAAGGACCGUGGACAGAACAGGAGGACAUCCUCUUGGUCAACUUUGUCCACUUGUUCGGAGAUCGAAGAUGGGAUUUUGUAGCGAAAGUUUCAGGUUUGAAGGUGGAGGGAGAAACAUAAGAAUAGGUAUAGGUUAUAGGG
rnacentral:lncRNA from 1 species